AUCCGGCUGACGAGUUGGAAAUAGGACGAAACGCGCAUCCUGGAC
rnacentral:hammerhead_ribozyme from 1 species